UUAAGCAUAUCACUGAGCGCAGGAGAAGAAACUAACCAGGAUUUCCCUAGUAACGGCGAGCGAACCGGAAAGAGCCCAGCUUGAAAAUCGUGGCGCCCCGGCGCCUCGAAUUGUAGUCUGGAGAAGGUCCCUCUGCGGCGCGCCGGACCCAAGUUCCCUGGAAAGGGACGCCAUCGAGGGUGAGAGCCCCGCUGAUUCCGGAGUGCGCCGCUCCACGAGGACCUGUCUGCGAGUCGGGCUGUUUGGGAAUGCAGCCCUAAGCGGGUGGUAAAUUCCAUCCAAGGCUAAAUAUUGGCAAGAGACCGAUAGCGAACAAGUACCGCGAGGGAAAGAUGAAAAGGACUUUGAAAAGAGAGUUAAAAAGUGCUUGAAAUUGCUGGGAGGGAAGCGAAUGGAAGCUGCGGGUGCGCCCCGGUUGGAUGUGGAACGGCUGUCAAAGGCUGGUCCGCCACUCAACGCGGGGCGCUGGUCAGCGUGGGCCAUCGCGGCGGGACAAGAGCGGGGAUUCGCUUCCCGCCGAUGCCGCUGCGGUGGCCGAGGAACGAAGCGCGCGCUCUUCAUGGGCGUGGGACUUGUCCCAACUGCGCGCUCGGGACGCUGGCGUAUUGAGCUCUUCAUCCGACCCGUCUUGAAACACGGACCAAGGAGUCUAACAUGUAUGCGAGCCGGUGGGCGGCAAACCCAUUGAGGCGCAAGUAACCUGACAGGUGGGACCCCGACCGCAAGGGAGGGAGCACCAUCGACCGACCGUGAUCUUCUGUGAAGGGUUCGAG
rnacentral:rRNA from 1 species